rfam:Haemonchus placei strain MHpl1 genome assembly, scaffold: HPLM_scaffold0003210
GGCCCAAAUUAGAAGUACGGUAGAUUAGCACGACUAGCUGACCAUACUAAUCUAUUCUACUUCGAGUUUGUGCCC